CAUCCCGAUGAAAGCAGAGUAAUGUCUGCCGCCCUUCGGGGCAUUGGAGACAGGUGGUGCAUGGUUGUCGUCAGCUCGUGUCGUGAGAUGUUGGGUUAAGUCCCGCAACGAGCGCAACCCCUGCCGUCAGUAGCCAGCAGGUAAAGCUGGGCACUCUGAUGGGACAGCCUGGGAUAACCAGGAGGAAGGCGGGGAUGACGUCAAAUCAUCAUGCCCCUUAUGGCCAGGGCUACACACGUGCUACAAUGGCGUAAACAGAGGGAAGCGAGACAGCGAUGUUAAGCAAAGCCCAAAAAUAACGCCUCAGUUCGGAUUGCAGCCUGCAACUCGGCUGCAUGAAGCCGGAAUCGCUAGUAAUCGCGGAUCAGAAUGCCGCGGUGAAUACGUUCCCGGGUCUUGUACACACCGCCCGUCACACCAUGGGAGUCGGAAAUGCCCGAAGUCGGUGACCCAACUGAGAAGAGGGAGCCGCCGAAGGCAGGUCCGGUAACUGGGGUG
rnacentral:rRNA from 1 species